rnacentral:rRNA from 1 species
GAGGAAUAUGCACAUGGGGGAAACCUGAUGCAGCUAUACCCGCGUGUGUGAUGAAGGUCUUAGGAUUGUAAAACACUUUCAGCAAGGGAAAAAAUUAUAUAAAUAAUACUUAUAUUAACUGAUAUUACCUGCAAAAGAAGUACCGGCUAACUCCGUGCCAGCAGCCGCGGUAAUACGGAGGGUACAAGCGUUAAUCGGAAUUAUUGGGCGUAAAGAGUACGUAGUGGUAUAUUAAGUCAGAUGUGAAAUACUUAAGCUUAACUUAAGAACUGCAUUUGAAACUAAUAAACUAGAGUUUUAUAGAGGGGAGUAGAAUUCCAAGUGUAGCGGUGAAAUGCGUAGAUAUUUGGAGGAAUACCAGAGGCGAAGGCGACUCCCUGGGUAAUAACUGACACUGAGGUACGAAAGCUUGGGGAGCAAACAGGAUUAGAUACCCUGGUAGUCCAUGCUGUAAACGAUGUCAAUUUGAAGAUUGUAAUAUUAUUAUUUUCUCUAUAAUUUUCGUAGCUAACGCAUUAAAUUUGACCGCCUGGGGAUUACGACCGCAAGGUUAAAACUCAAAUGAAUUGACGGGGACCCGCACAAGCGGUGGAGCAUGUGGUUUAAAUUCGAUACAACGCGAAAAAACUUACCUACUUCUUGGACAUCUAUAGUAAAUUAA